rnacentral:rRNA from 1 species
UAAGUAAGCUUUGAUCCAGAGAUUUCCGAAUGGGGAAACCCAGCAUGAGUUAUGUCAUGUUAUCGAUAUGUGAAUACAUAGCAUAUCAGAAGGCACACCCGGAGAACUGAAACAUCUUAGUACCCGGAGGAAGAGAAAGAAAAUUCGAUUCCCUUAGUAGCGGCGAGCGAAACGGGAAGAGCCCAAACCAACAAGCUUGCUUGUUGGGGUUGUAGGACACUCUAUACGGAGUUACAAAGGACGACAUUAGACGAAUCAUCUGGAAAGAUGAAUCAAAGAAGGUAAUAA